rnacentral:rRNA from 1 species
AGAGUUUGAUUAUGGCUCAGGAUGAACGCUAGCGACAGGCUUAACACAUGCAAGUCGAGGGGCAGCAUAAAAGUAGCAAUACGUUGGUGGCGACCGGCGCACGGGUGAGUAACGCGUAUGCAACCUACCUAUCAGGAGGGGAAUAACCCGGCGAAAGUCGGACUAAUACCGCAUAAAACAGGGGCACCGCAUGGUGAUAUUUGUUAAAGAAAUUCGCUGAUAGAUGGGCAUGCGUUCCAUUAGGUAGUUGGUGAGGUAACGGCUCACCAAGCCGACGAUGGAUAGGGGAACUGAGAGGUUGGUCCCCCACACUGGUACUGAGACACGGACCAGACUCCUACGGGAGGCAGCAGUGAGGAAUAUUGGUCAAUGGGCGAGAGCCUGAACCAGCCAAGUCGCGUGAAGGAAGAAGGAUCUAUGGUUCGUAAACUUCUUUUGCAGGGGAAUAAAGUGCAGGACGUGUCCUGUUUUGUAUGUACCCUGAGAAUAAGGAUCGGCUAACUCCGUGCCAGCCGCGGC